GAAAACCAAAGCCUUCAUCUGUAGCAGUAUAAAUACUCUCGGCGUGGCCAACUUCAGGUUACCAACACAAGAUCAUGCAGCUUGCAAAUUUCCUGAAAAAUUAACAAUUGGCUCUUAGGAGCCCACCUGACCCAGCUCCAGCAUGCCGCUGCAUCGAGGAGAGUGCCUUCUCGGAAUGGCAGAUACUAGAACAUACUGAAGGGGAGUUUCCACCUCACAUCCCAGGAAGGAAAUGAAAGAGGAACCCAGCCGGCUUCUCUCUGUCCCCCUACUCACUACUAGGAGUGGCUCAUGAUGGUUUCUCGGGUGAUCCGUGAUUCGGAAGAAGGAUCCCAGAGGCUUCAUUUUGAUGUGAAUUGGAGUUCAAACUUGGCUCGAUUGUAGACUGAGCUCUGAGAAUGAAACGGCGUCGCCACACAAAGGCCGUCACAGAGAACCCAGACAAACACAAGAGAUUGCUACCAAAACACAAAAAGACCCCUCUCUGCCACUGCUGCACCGAUGAGGCAGCUCCUUGAAGAUACGGACCACAUCUUGGUCAUCCUCUGUAUCCAUAGCAGCUGGCGGAAUAACUGGCAGAAAUGCACAAACUCAAUAAACAGAUCUAUCCCUGGGCCUGAAUUUCCCCCGAAGUUCUGGUGGCAUGGAUCCAAACAGCCUGCAAGCCUGUCCCCUUGGAGGGCUUGCCCUUACCUCACCAAAUGCUCUGUGUUUGUUUAUUCGCUCAACAAAUAUGCAUGGAAUGCCACCAGGUGCCAAAUCUUUUCCCAGGACCCACGGUUUUCAGCUAAAUUAGACACAGUUCAACCCUCAAGGAGCCCCCCGUUCAGGGGGAGAGAUGGAUUAUGCAAUGAUGCUGUGGCACGGGAUGUGCUAGAUUCCAGGGGCCUGGGAGGUGGAAUAGUCCAGGCUGUGCUCUCAAAGAGAGGAAAAGCAACCCAGGGACGAUGAAAAAUGCCACGUCCAAGCUGCAGAGGGCCUGGCCGUGUCAGAGGGCCGCCUGGCCUGGGGGUCCACCGCGCUGCAGGCAGAAAGUGAAGCAAUCGCAGCCUGGGAGGCCGACGGCAGGGGAGGGAACAUUCCACCAGGGCAAAGCUGGCGAGGGCUUUGGGCCCAUCCAAGAUCCAGCUCUCAUGAAAUGCAGGAAGUGUGAUGAAGAACCCCGGGCGCCUCGAGGCCUCCCACCCUGGCUUGGGAAAGGGAAGAAAGCGAGUUAGGGGAAGGUUUCGUGGGCUACAUUCCCCUGGCUUCUCAGUGAGCACACGGUGGUGUCUGCAUUUCUGCUUAAGUCAACAUUGUCACAAGACUCAGC
rnacentral:lncRNA from 1 species